CUCUUCGCGAAGGUCGCCAAGGGGAAGCUGAAGGAAGAUCAGGCCCGUAAAUACUUCCAGCAGCUGAUCAGCGCCGUCGAUUUCUGCCACAGCCGAGGCGUCUCCCACCGCGAUUUGAAGCCCGAGAAUCUGCUGGUCGACGAGAACGAAGAUCUGAAAAUCUCCGACUUCGGCCUCUCCGCCCUGCCGGAGCAGCUCCGGAACGACGGCAUGUUGCACACCCAGUGUGGGACCCCUGCU
rnacentral:lncRNA from 1 species